GCAUAGGAUUGUCACAUAGUGGGAGCUCUCUUUGCCUCACCUCUCCAUUAACUGCGAUAAACUUUGUGUCCAAUGAGAUCACUCUGAAAUGCACUGCAGAAGAUGACUGUUACAAUCAGAUCUGUUAAGGCAGGUAUGCUGUGUGAAGCCCUCUGCACCUUCCUCUCCACUUACCUGUUUGGCCAGAUUAAAUGUUUGACCCUUGACCUCUACACGGAUCUUCUGGACGGACAUGGUCAUCACCACAGGAGCCUGGAGGGGAACAUGAAAACAUGCCCUUAUCUUGUGUCCCAACUUUUUCAUCAGGACAAAAGUCUAGAGGAGAAAGUAAAAACACCUGCUAUUUUGCUCAAACUCUUUCAUCAGCUCAAGAGCCAAGGAGAAAAUAGAAACAUCUCCCGAUCUUCUGAAAAUCACCACAGGAGUCUACAGGGGAUUUACAGAUCUUUUGAUUGAUGCAUUGUACACAGCUAACCCUGCUCACUAUCACUGCUUAGAGACAUUGGCACAACUUUCACUGCCUAGAGACACUGGCACAGCUUCACUUACGGCCUUGGUGCUGGGUUAGCGUAACCCACGGCAGCCAGCAGCCCCAGGGCAGUGCAGAUCCUCCAGAGGAACAUUCUUCUGUGUCUCCAGGGGUUUGGACACAAGACUCACUGCUGUAACGGUCACCACUGUGUAUUACUGGUAGGAAGUCUGACCUUUACCAAAAGGAUGACCCAGAUUUGGUGCCAUCUGUUGGACUGACAGGUCAGCAAGGAGGAACCUCGGUCACCCAAAGAAACAGGGAACUCACGCUACAAGCGUCACAUGAAUCAAACCCAGCAGAGACUGGAGGCUGAAGCUACUGCUGCUGCUGCUGAGACUGAUGACCCCAACACAAGUGAUUAUGUCAGCGAUAAUUUGUGCUGUACAGGGACUCAAACUGAAUUGACUGGUGAUGUAAUUGAGGCUAUGAACACUGAACUCCAAAGUCUUAGAACUGAAAACAUUCAGUGAUGUUGCACAUUUGUUCACUUCCUAUGACCAAAGGGCCUUUGUUGAUAAGGAUGGAAAGUUAUUAUUUUUCACUGGCCUACAUACAUACCAGAUACUGUUAGUACUCUUCACAUUCCUUAGUUCCCACCUCCCUGUGAAGAAGUCACUUGAUAAGUUUAAGCAGUUGAUGCUUACAUUGAU